rnacentral:tmRNA from 1 species
GGGGGCGCACUGGUUUCGACCGGUUUUGAACGACUUCAGGUGGCGUGCCGGGGAUUUCUUGAGUCCACCCCGUUAACAACCUCGAGAAGGCUUUUUAGUUGCCGAUAACUAUGCACUUGCAGCUUAAUUAAUAGUUAAGUAGCCGUCUCCCCCGCGAUUGUCCGCGGCGCGGGGGAGACGAAAACAGCGGACUGGUCGGAAAGCUGCGCCUCAGGGCCGCCCGACGAGAAAGUUCUGAGGCUGGUCUACGGUCCGCCCUGUUUCCUGGCAUACCCAAGACGAGAUUCAAAGGGAAACUACGCACGUAGAAGCCAGUAGCCGACGAUUCCGGGACGCGGGUUCGACUCCCGCCGCCUCCACCA